rnacentral:rRNA from 1 species
UACAGAGACUGCAAGCGUUAUUCGGAUUCACUGGGCGUAAAGGGUAGGUAGGUGGUAAUAAAAGUCUGGGGUGAAAUCCCUGAGCUCAACUCAGGACGUGCCUUGGAAACUUUAUUACUAGAGUGCUGGAGAGGUCCGCAGAAUUCCCGGUGUAGCGGUGAAAUGCGUAGAGAUCGGGAGGAAUACCAGAGGCGAAGGCGGCGGACUGGACAGUCACUGACACUCAACUACGAAAGCGUGGGUAGCAAACAGG